AUGCUGUAAAAUAUACAAUAUCUACUUAUUUUCUGCUCUGGUCUAGCUCAUUCCUAUAAACAUCACAAAGUAAACCAAAUGUUACCAAUAAAAGGGAAAAAAGGGAAGAGCAAUCAGAUUUGCCCUUUUAGCCAUUUCUGUGAUAGCAAAGUAAGUGGUACCUGUGGUUAUCCUCCAGUGGUAAGCAAAAUCAGCACAAAUGGCUGGGAAGUUUAAAGUGGCAAUUUCCUAGAGUUUACAGAUACAUAUUGAUAGAUUGACA
rnacentral:misc_RNA from 1 species